rnacentral:piRNA from 1 species
UGAGGACUCCCUAGAUGUGCAGCCUUCUGU